rnacentral:lncRNA from 1 species
AUCCAGCAAAGCCACAGACCAAGUUGCUUUCAUGUCCAUGAGUUAUAUGAAGGCGCCGUAAGAGUGACUUCCAUGAAACUGCAGGGCAGCUGCAUGUUG